rnacentral:rRNA from 1 species
GGGGGGGGGGGGGGGGGGGGGUGGGGGGGGCAGGUCGGGCGGGUGAGGGGGGCUUGCGCCUGGAUUCAGCGGCGGGCGGGUGCGUGCUGCCUGGGAAUCUGCCUGGUAGUGGGGGAUAACGUCCGGAAACGGGCGCUAAUACCGCAUACGUCCUGAGGGAGAAAGUGGGGGAUCUUCGUACCUCACUCUAUCAGUUCCGCCUAGGUCGGAUUAGCUAGUUGGUGGGGUAAAGGCCUACCCAGGCGACGAUCCGUAACUGGUCUGAGAGGAUGAUCAGUCACACUGGAACUGAGACACGGUCCAGACUCCUACGGGAGGCAGCAGUGGGGAAUAUUGGACAAUGGGCGAAAGCCUGAUCCAGCCAUGCCGCGUGUGUGAAGAAGGUCUUCGGAUUGUAAAGCACUUUAAGUUGGGAGGAAGGGCAGUAAGUUAAUACCUUGCUGUUUUGACGUUACCAACAGAAUAAGCACCGGCUAACUUCGUG